AUUGAACGCUGGCGGCAGGCCUAACACAUGCAAGUCGAACGAGUGGCGGACGGGUGAGUAAUGUCUGGGCAACUGCCUGGUGGAGGGGGUUAACUACUGGAAACGGUAGCUAAUACCGCAUACCAUCGGAUGUGCCCAGAUGGGAUUAGCUAGUAGGUGGGGUAACGGCUUACCUAGGCGACGAUCCCUAGCUGGGCUGAGAGGAUGACCAGCCACACGGGAACUGAGACACGGUCCAGACUCCUACGGGAGGCAGCAGUGGGGAAUAUUGCACAAUGGGCGCAAGCCUGAUGCAGCCAUGCCGCGUGUAUGAAGAAGGCCUUCGGGUUGUAAAGCACUUUCAGUUGGGAGGCGUUACCCGCAGAAGAAGCACCGGCUAACUCCGUGCCAGCAGCCGCGGUAAUAC
rnacentral:rRNA from 1 species